UAAUCUUAUAAUGAAUAAUUUUGAUUACGAGUUACGACUAUUGAUUAUAUAUCCUAAAAAAGGAAACAAAAUACACGAAAUGUCUAACAUUUUAUUGAAGCAGUUUUUUUAUUCUUCCGCUAAAGUCUUCUGUCGCUAGAUGGUGUGUUUGUCUGUUUGAUUGUUUAUUGUCGUCUGCUUGUCUUCAUUGGAUUUUGAAGACUGGAAGAGAACUUUAUGGAAAUUGUUACUGUGUGUGUAGGCUACUUUACUAACAAAUUAUAACUAUUCAGUAUUGAGAUUCUGGUUUUCCAUACCAUUGAAACCAAAAGCCAAAUAUUACAGACCUGUGGUGACUAAUGCAGGGUCUAUUUUCCCAAAGCUGAUUACUCGACCGUGAAAGUCAACAUUCAUUCUUCGAAACAGUGGAAACACCACAGUCUUGAUGAGCUAGAGCAGGAAUUGACAAAUAGAUGGUGAUCACCAUCAAAAGCCUAAAAUUAAAGUUUGAAGCCCACAUAUAGUGGAAUACAAAUCUUCUGAGAUAAGGAUCUUUUCUGAAUCUCGCAAUUUUGGUGGCGUACCCUGCAACAGCAUGUUUGUUGUUAUGGCUGUUUCUACUUCGUUUAGAGUUAUGACCUUCAACCAAAUUCAUAGGAAAU